GGAGCUGUUGCGCCCCCGGGUGUGACGAUCCAACCGCAUUGCGGAACAAACCCACUGCGUUCGACCUUCACUCUUCACACGCGGAACCAUUGGGGCUGUGGAAACCUCCUUGAUUGGUGGUAGAAGCGCUUCCGCAUUCAACACAUGCAUAUGCCCCUGUCCGUGGAGGUUACUGUGAACAAAACAGCGUGUCCAAAGCAACCACAUGUCUGGCUGAAUGAUCUAGCAUGGAAUAACAAGGCAUCGACCACUGGAGUCAGCCUUUUUGUUGGUUUUACAUGACCCAGUUGGGCAAUGCAGGGCUUGUGCUUCAUUGAGGUUCUUAGUCAGCUCUACCGAACUGUCUUCCCUCAGUUGGACCUUGUUCCCUAUCGGGAUCAAUGGAAGCCAUCGGGGUGGUAUGUAUUCCGACGUGAGCGGUGAAAUGCUUAGACCGUUGGAAGACAAACGACAGCGAAGGCAUUCCGCCAGAAUGUUUUCAUUAAUCAAGAACGAGAGUGUGGGGAUCGAAGAUGAUCAGAUACCAUCGUAGUCCAUUACCGUAAACUAUGCCAACUCGGCAUUGGGAGUCUGUUCACUUUGAAGACUCUCCCAGCAUCAUCCCCCAAUAACGAGAAAUCCAAGUCUAUGGGUUCAGGGGGGAGUACAGUCGCAAGGCUGAAACUUAAAUGAAUUGACGGAAUGACACCACAAGGCGUGGAGUAUGCGGCUUAAUUUGACCCAACACGGGGAAGCUUACCAGGUCAGACACAGUAAGGAUUGACAGAUUGAGAGCUCUUUCUUGAUCCUAUGGAUGGUGGUGCAUGGCCGUUUCUGGUUCGUGGAGUGAUCUGUCUGCUUAAUUGCGAUAACGAACGAGAUCUCUACCUCUAAAUAGGCGCCGGUCUCGCAUGUAAGUAGGGAUGUGUUGGGGGCCUUCGUGUCCCCUCAUGUCCUGAGAGUGCCGGGAUCGCUUCUUAGACGGACUGUGCAUGUCUUUAAUGCACGGAAGAGGGAGUCAAUAGCAGGUCUGUGAUGCUCCUAGAUGUUCUGGGCUGCACGCGCACUACACUGGCACAGUAAACGAGUUGCACCUGCUUCGGCAGUCCUGCUUAGAAGUGAGCGUGGGAAAUCUUAGAAAACUGUGCCGUGCUGGGGAUAGAUGAUUGCGAUUAUUUGUCUUGAACGAGGAAUGCCUAGUAGAGGUACUUCAUCAGAGUACCUUGAUUGUGUCCCUGCCAUUUGUACACACCGCCCGUCGUUGCUACCGAUUGGCUGUAAAAUAGAGGCCUUAAGAGUCGCUUCCGCAAAGCUUUGCUUUUGAGGUUGUGACAAAUCUGGCCAAUAUUUCAUUGCUAGAGGAAGCAAAAGUCGUAACAAGG
rnacentral:rRNA from 1 species